rnacentral:misc_RNA from 1 species
AGGGCAUCCAUUGUUUCCGGCGAGCUGCUUUGUUUAUUGGGUUAGUAGAAACUGGAAUAUAAUGAAUCAAACUUACUAUGGCUCGAUGUGAAACUGUGGGUCAUCGAUAACUCUCAUUGGCUUCCAAUCAGAUUCUUCUCUGGGCUGUCUGAGAGCAACAAAAUGAAGUGCAUCACUGUGCACUUGGUAGAUAUGACAUGCCCAGGGAUAUGAAUCUGGGGCUUCCCAGAUCUUCUGUUCUUCAAAUAGCGUCUCCUCGAUCAAUGUUUCUGCAACACAGUAUGCAGCAUUUGGUUCAGGCUCAGUAAAAUCAGGUACAGCUACACAUCCAGGAGAGACAAAGCCCUCAGGCGCACGAGGGUGCCAAAUUGAUAUGGGAUUGGUGAAAUCAUCUAAGCAGUUCCUCCACACCAGGUCAUAGCCGACUGGGAGGGCGAAUAGUUUGUCAGAAUAACGAUAUACAGCUGAAACAUUAGGAGGAUGAGAACCAACAUGAGUAAUAUCUCCAAUUGAGAUGUACCCAUGGGGUAAACCGGAAGGGCGCCAGAUACUACAGAUCCCAUCAUCUUCUGAAACAUUCUUCCGGCACAAUGUACAACGACCUUUCAACUCUCGCUCACUGCUCCAUACCUUAGAAAAUGUGACAGCAUGUUGAACAAAUUUCCUUCUAUCGGAGAUGGCGCCCCAGGAAGCCAGCCCCCUUGAUUCAAUUAUAGGCUUUUUCUGGCUAAAUGAAUCUCUUCCAUCAUUAUCAUUCGAUGCAA